UCAAUUAGAAAACCCAAAUCCUCCACCUUCUCUCUACUCUCUCUCUCUCCUCAAUGAAGACCCUAUUGGAGACCAAGGUCAAAAGGGCUUAGGUCUGCAAGAACUUCACUUUCUAUCCAUCAAUAUUCAAGGAUUAACAAGGUAUAGGAACUCUUCACCUUUGGGACUCAUUUCCCCAAAGGGUUCUUUCAAAUUGAUUUCCAAAAGUUGAGAAAAACAUGGGUUUCAUUCUUUAAUCCUAAAUUAAUGUUUCAAAUUUUAUUGUUCUUGAUUUUCUUUUUAUUAGUACGAAUGAAUUAUGAUGGAUUAUUGGUGAUUUAGGGUAGUUCUUGAUGUUAGACCUAGUUCUAUGAAAGAGAUCAUGAAUUGACCCUAUUUUCCUAACCCUAGGUUAUGAAUUGAUGUUGAAUUGGUUAGUGAUGAUGCAAUUGAUUGUUCUUGUGUUAAUUAAUAUAUAUUAUGAUAUUAUUAAGUCUAUUAUUGGAUUAAUAUGGUUGGUUGAUGGUAAGACCAUGGAAUAAGGCUUGUGAAAGUGAAUUGGUAAGACCUAUAAUUUUGAAUCCUUACUUCAAUUGUGAUGGCUUAUAAUUGAUGCUGGUAUUCAACUUAAGUGUUGGUUUUGAUUAGAUUAUAUAGGUGUUGGUAUGAUGAAUGUAAUUAAAAUGUCUUGAUCAUAUGGAUUGUGAAAUUUUGAUUAAGGUGUAAUGAUAUAAGGUUGAUUGUGAAUCACUUAUGUGUCUUACUAUAACAUGAUGAUGCUAAUGUGUUAAUCUCACAUAUAAGGUUGUUAUGAAAGGAAGUUCUCAUGCAAUUUCAAAUGAUCUAAUGAUUAUUAUAUACAAGGGGUUAGUCCUCUAUGAUCUAUACAAAGCUAUGAUGAUUUAUAAAGACUUAAAGACAUUUUAAAAAAGGGACUUUAGCUUAGCACUGAGUGAACUCGACAAUGAGAGGUGUUGACUCCCUCAUAGAAGGGAGAUUCACCAAGGGUUACCAUGAUAUAGUGUCUAUAAUGGAAUUGUGCAUAAAGAGAAUCCAACAUAUGUCUCCUAAAUCUGAACUAUGUUGCCCCAUAGGAAUACUAGUUAGUGGAUCCACCUAGAACACUAUGUUCAUGUUUUGGUACUACCUUGGCAAGUAGUCCACCUUCUUUCAGUGUAGGUUUUCAUGACACUGGAUUCCACAUUAAGGCAAUUGUUUCCCGAAACUAAAAUGAAGUAAUAAAUUGAACUCUAACUAUGGUGACUUAAGGGUUUGGCUUAGUCUAGCUAGGGGUAUGUGACUCUACCUAUACAUUGCACUAGUUGGCGAAUCCAUAGGAGGAUGUUCCUAUGUUCUUAUAAAGUAAUGAUAUGCAUAUGUUGACUUUACAUGUUGAUGAUCCUAUAUGAUGUUGGUUUCACUUAUGAACAUAUUGUUGGUCUAUAUUGCUACAUAUGAUGAUGACUACUCAUGAUGCUAUGUUAUAUUAAGUUAGACAUUAGUUGUGAUCCUUUGUUUGGUUUACUUGGGUGAGUGGGGUUAUGGGGCUUCACUUGGUCAUUGCACUUGUAAGUUUGGUAAUAGGUUAUGAGUAAGGGUCUUACAUAUGUUGUAAUGGUAUGAAACUCUUGUACAUACAUUAUUAUUAUAACAUGAUUUUGGAGUUGCUUUAGUUAUGGGUUCUUAUAUGUUACUACACAUGUUGACUUGAUCUAUUUGAUGAUGUUGAUCUUGUGUUGUAUAUGGUCUUCUAUUAAGGGAUAUGUGAUCAUUGUCUUAUAUGUGUUCUUGGUAGUGCACAAGGCUUUUCAAAGUAACUUGGCAUGAUUUUGAACAAAUAUCCCUUUAAGCAUGAUUUCAAACAUUAUCUGUUGAUAUGUUUCCAUACUUAGUACAAGUGGAUGUACUACCCAUUUACUUUAUAUUUCUACAAUUAUGUAGGUUCCGAUUAUUGAGUUCUUAGAAGGCCAAUUGAAGAAGACUUGAACUCUUUUCCCAAGUGUUAGUAGAUCUUUAUGUUCGGGGAUGUUACCUUGUUCCACAUUCUAGCUUUAAAGUUGUAUUGUCAUAAAAACAUUGUUCAUUUCUUUAUCAUUUGGAUAUUUAUGUAAGCCUAUAUUGGCAUGUUUACUUUUGUAUUGGCUAUGUCAAAGAUUUGUACUCGUUUAGACGGUUCAAUAUCAGAAGAAGUAUUAGACUAAUUCUUAUUUAUUGAUUAUGUUAUCUAAAAGAGAAGCCAAUGCAAGAUUUUUGUGUGCGG
rnacentral:lncRNA from 1 species